rnacentral:rRNA from 1 species
UGGGGAAUAUUGCACAAUGGAGGGAACUCUGAUGCAGCGACGCCGCGUGAACGAAGAAGGCUUUCGAGUCGUAAAGUUCUUUUAUAUGGGAAGAUAAUGACGGUACCAUAAGAAAAAGCCCCGGCUAACUACGUGCCAGCAGCCGCGGUAAUACGUAGGGGGCUAGCGUUGUCCGGAAUCACUGGGCGUAAAGGGUUCGCAGGCGGAAAUGCAAGUCAGGUGUAAAAGGCAGUAGCUUAACUACUGUAAGCAUUUGAAACUGCAUAUCUUGAGAAGAGUAGAGGUAAGUGGAAUUUUUAGUGUAGCGGUGAAAUGCGUAGAAAUUAAAAAGAAUACCGGUGGCGAAGGCGACUUACUGGGCUCAUUCUGACGCUGAGGAACGAAAGCGUGGGUAGCAAACAGG